AGCGAACGCUGGCGGCAGGCUUAACACAUGCAAGUCGAGCGGGCACUUUCGGGUGUCAGCGGCGGACGGGUGCGUAACGCGUGGGAACGUGCCCUCUGGUUCGGAAUAACUCAGGGAAACUUGAGCUAAUACCGGAUACGCCCUUUUGGGGAAAGGCUUGCUGCCGGAGGAUCGGCCCGCGUCUUAUUAGCUUGUUGGUGAGUUAACGGCUCACCAAGGCGACGAUCAGUAGCUGGUCUGAGAGUAUGAUCAGCCACACUGGGACUGAGACACGGCCCAGACUCCUACGGGAGGCAGCAGUGGGGAAUAUUGGACAAUGGGCGCAAGCCUGAUCCAGCCAUGCCGCGUGAGUGAUGAAGGCCUUAGGGUUGUAAAGCUCUUUUAUCCGGGACGAUAAUGACGGUACCGGAGGAAUAAGCCCCGGCUAACUUCGUG
rnacentral:rRNA from 1 species